GCGGAAAUGGCCAAAAGGCCGGAAGAAGUCAUAGAGCAGGCUGUGGACUACAAGAGGCCACAGUAUGGGGAAGUCAUGAAAACCUUCGAGCCGUAUCUCAAUGGAAGCGGCGUAUCGGCUAAGUGUAAAUCAACAAAACGGUGAAAUUUUAGGCUUCAUGGGUAGAUCUCUCUUUUGUUCAUAGGUAAAAGGUUUGAAAAUAGUAGUACUCUGCUCUUUGUAAAUGAACAAGCCAGUUUAAUUUG